rnacentral:lncRNA from 1 species
AUGAAAGUUUCUUCAUUACUAUUGAACGAUUGGUUCUCUAGUCUCUAAUUGCAACUUGUUUUACCGCUAAUUGAGUGAAUGGUUCUUGCACUCUAGCAAUUGUCAUCCAGUUUUUCGUCUUUGGACAUUUCACAAUGAUAUUGGGUUUAAAUUGAUACCACCAAAUGUAUUUGUCUUCAUCGAUUUCUGUUCUGCCUAACAAUCAAUUUGAGGUUUCAUCGAUAUCCUGGUCCAACACUCAGAUCUCAGAUAUGAAAGGAUCUUCCACCAAGAGGGGAGUGAGAAGAAGGUCUGAUUAUUUGCUGAAAUGAAGCAACUGUUUGACCUGGAUGCAACUCUUUUAUCAGAGAUUUCCGUCAUGUUCAAGGCAUUUUACAUUUGCUGAAUCUACAAAGCUUAGGAGAAUGGGAGCAGCAAAUGGGAACGUAUGUAAAAGUUACAUUUGAUUUAAAUGAAGCAGGGUGUGGCUGCUGACCUGGGAAGUGAACCUGUUUGAAUUUUAUUCUCAAGCUUGUUGUUUUCCCUUGGAUUAUAUAUGUGGAAAUAGUGACUUGUAUUUGGAUAAUUUGUAUGAUAUAGUUAAUAUAUAAAGAUUUUUUUUACUUUAG